CGUGUAGGCGGCUCAGCAAGUCAGGUGUGAAAGCCCUCGGCUUAACCGAGGAAGUGCGCCUGAAACUAUUGAGCUUGAGUACCGGAGAGGGCGGUGGAAUUCCCGGUGUAGAGGUGAAAUUCGUAGAUAUCGGGAGGAACACCAGCGGCGAAGGCGACCGCCUGGACGGUUACUGACGCUGAGACGCGAAAGCGUGGGGAGCAAACAGGAUUAGAUACCCUGGUAGUCCACGCCGUAAACGAUGAGCGCUAGGUGUUGUGGGUGUUGACCCCCGCAGUGCCGCAGCUAACGCAUUAAGCGCUCCGCCUGGGGAGUACGGCCGCAAGGCUAAAA
rnacentral:rRNA from 1 species